rnacentral:rRNA from 1 species
UAAGUUUCAACAACGGAUCUCUUGGCUCUCGCAUCGAUGAAGAACGCAGCGAAAUGCGAUAAGUAAUGUGAAUUGCAGAAUUCAGUGAAUCAUCGAAUCUUUGAACGCACCUUGCGCUCCUUGGUAUUCCUUGGAGCAUGCCUGUNUGAGUAUCAUGAAAUCU